AUUAACAGGACAUGGGAUCGUGCCAGUCGUGCCUGGGGGACAAUGAUUCAGCAUCAAGUAUAUGGGAUAGGUCUCGGUCGCCUAAACGAGAUGAACGCGUACAAACUAGAGCAACGCAAGGACCACCAAAUCCGGCUUCAUAUAAUCAGAGAGUUGCACAGACUGCUCCAUUUACACGUCCACAGAAUGAAGAGCGCAAUGUAUAUGAAAGACUAAAUCGACCUGUGGUAAGUGGC